UACGGAGGGUGCAAGCGUUAUCCGGAUUUACUGGGUUUAAAGGGUGCGUAGGUGGGUAGGUAAGUCAGUGGUGAAAUCUUCGAGCUUAACUCGGAAACUGCCAUUGAUACUAUUUAUCUUGAAUACUCUGGAGGUAAGCGGAAUAUGUCAUGUAGCGGUGAAAUGCUUAGAUAUGACAUAGAACGCCAAUUGCGAAGGCAGCUUACUACAUAGUUAUUGACACUGAGGCACGAAAGCGUGGGGAUCAAACAGG
rnacentral:rRNA from 1 species